rnacentral:rRNA from 1 species
UACAGAGGUCUCAAGCGUUGUUCGGAUUCAUUGGGCGUAAAGGGUGCGUAGGCGGCGCGGUAAGUCGGGUGUGAAAUCUCGGAGCUUAACUCCGAAACUGCAUUCGAUACUGCCGUGCUUGAGGACUGGAGAGGAGACUGGAAUUUACGGUGUAGCGGUGAAAUGCGUAGAUAUCGUAAGGAAGACCAGUGGCGAAGGCGGCCAUCUGGUCUGCAACUGACGCUGAAGCACGAAAGCACGGGGAGCAAACAGG